GCACAAGCGGUGGAGUAUGUUGUUUAAUUCGAAGAUACACGAAGAACCUUACCAGGUCUUGACAUACCAUUGACAGGUGUAGAGAUACACUCUCCUUCGGGCAAUGGAUACAGGUGGUGCAUGGUUGUCGUCAGCUCGUGCCGUGAGGUGUUGGGUUAAGUCCCGCAACGAGCGCAACCCUCAUUGUUAGUUACUACCAUUCAGUUGAGGACUCUAAUGAGACUGCCAACGACAAGUUGGAGGAAGGUGGGGAUGACGUCAAAUCAUCAUGCCCUUUAUGACCUGGGCUACAAACGUACUACAAUGGCCAAUACAAAGAGAUGCGAAGCGGUGACGUGAAGCGAACCUCAAAAAGUUGGUCUCAGUUCAGAUUGAAGUCUGCAACUCGACUUCAUGAAGGCGGAAUCGCUGGUAAUCGCGGGUCAGCAGACCGCGGUGAAUACGUUCCCGGGUUUU
rnacentral:rRNA from 1 species